UAGCCGUAAACGAUACUCGCUAGGUGUCGGCCACGGUGCGACCGUUGUCGGUGCCGUAGGGAAGCCGUGAAGCGAGCCACCUGGGAAGUACGGCCGCAAGGCUGAAACUUAAAGGAAUUGGCGGGGGGAGGCACCACAACGCGUGGAGCCUGCGGUUUAAUUGGAUUCAACGCCGGACAUCUCACCAGGGCGACAGCAGAAUGAUGGCCAGGUUGAUGACCUUGCUUGACAAGCUGAGAGGAGGUGCAUGGCGUGUGACUGU
rnacentral:rRNA from 1 species